rnacentral:rRNA from 1 species
AUUGAACGCUGGCGGCAUGCCUUACACAUGCAAGUCGAACGCGAAAGCGGAGCAAUCCGCAAGUAGAGGGGCGAACGGGUGAGUAAUACAUCGAAACAUUUCCAGUAGCGGGGGAUAACCUGUCAAAAGAUAGGCUAAUACCGCAUACAAUCUACGGAUGAAAGCGGGGGACCGAAAGGCCUCGCACUAUUGGAGUGGCCAAUGUCGGAUUAGCUAGUUGGGGGGGUAAAAGCCUACCAAGGCAACGAUCCGUAGCUGGUCUGAAAGGACAAUCAGCCACACUGGAACUGAGACACGGUCCAAACUCCUACGGGAGGCAGCAGGGGGGAAUUUUGGACAAUGGGCGCAAGCCUGAUCCAGCCAUGCCGCGUGAGUGAAGAAGGCCUUCGGGUUGUAAAGCUCUUUCGGUGAAAACAAAACGGUUAGUGUUAAUAACACUGACUAAUGACGGUACUCACAGAAAAAGCACCGGCUAACUACGUG